GACGAACGCUGGCGGCGUGCCUAAUACAUGCAAGUCGAGCGAGACUCUUCGGAGUCUAGCGGCGGACGGGUGAGUAACACGUGGGCAACCCGCCUGUAAGACUGGGAUAACACCGGGAAACCGGUGCCAAUACCGGAUAAUCCUUUUUCUCUCAUGAGGAAAAGCUGAAAGUCGGUUUCGGCUGACACUUACAGAUGGGCCCGCGGCGCAUUAGCUAGUUGGUGAGGUAACGGCUCACCAAGGCGACGAUGCGUAGCCGACCUGAGAGGGUGAUCGGCCACACUGGGACUGAGACACGGCCCAGACUCCUACGGGAGGCAGCAGUAGGGAAUCUUCCACAAUGGACGAAAGUCUGAUGGAGCAACGCCGCGUGAGCGAUGAAGGCCUUCGGGUCGUAAAGCUCUGUUGUUAGGGAAGAACAAGUACCGGAGUAACUGCCGGUACCUUGACGGUACCUAACCAGAAAGCCACGGCUAACUACGUGCCAGCCGCCGCCGUAACAC
rnacentral:rRNA from 1 species